UAUUCUACGCCAAUCAUAUCAUAGACAGUGGGGGCUUCACCCAAUCAACGCUCAGGUGGAUUUUCAAAUGUCGGAAGAGUAGAUUGAUGGACCAUUCAUUCAAAACAAGAGUGCUCAUUUGAUAUUCACUGAAAAUACACGUAACUUAGCUAAACUUACAACCCAUAUAUUUUAACGAAAACUACAACUUUCAGCUGCUAAGUAAAAUUGGACGCUGGUAUUAAAUCAAGUUUUAUUUGCACACUACAAUGGGAAAAGGUAAAAAGAAAGUCUCGACCGGCGCAGAAGUUAAACCCGAAGACGCCCCCGACAUCAAAGGGAAACACACAAAAGAAAAUCAUCCGAAAAUGAACGGGGAGAGUCUGUGCUGCGGGCUGCUCUAGAGUUCAAAGGUCACUGAACGAUGCGGUCUGUUGCAGGAGAGUCUGCUACAGGCUGCUCUAGAGUUCAAAGGUCACUGAACGAUGCGGUCU